UGGCUCAGAGGUUAGAGCGUCUGCCUGCAAUGCGGGAGACCCGGGUUCGAUCCCUGG
rnacentral:tRNA from 1 species